rnacentral:rRNA from 1 species
GGAUGAGCCCGCGGCCUAUCAGCUUGUUGGUGAGGUAAUGGCUCACCAAGGCGACGACGGGUAGCCGGCCUGAGAGGGCGACCGGCCACACUGGGACUGAGACACGGCCCAGACUCCUACGGGAGGCAGCAGUGGGGAAUAUUGCACAAUGGGCGAAAGCCUGAUGCAGCGACGCCGCGUGAGGGAUGACGGCCUUCGGGUUGUAAACCUCUUUCAGCAGGGAAGAAGCGAAAGUGACGGUACCUGCAGAAGAAGCGCCGGCUAACUACGUGCCAGCAGCCGCGGUAAUACGUAGGGCGCAAGCGUUGUCCGGAAUUACUGGGCGUAAAGAGCUCGUAGGCGGUCUGUCGCGUCGGAUGUGAAAGCCCGGGGCUUAACCCCGGGUCUGCAUUCGAUACGGGCAGACUAGAGUGUGGUGGGGGAGAUCGGAAUUCCUGGUGUAGCGGUGAAAUGCGCAGAUAUCAGGAGGAACACCGGUGGCGAAGGCGGAUCUCUGGGCCAUUACUGACGCUGAGGAGCGAAAGCGUGGGGGAGCGAACAGGAUUAGAUACCCUGGGUAGUCCCCGCCGUUAAACGGGGGGGAACUAAGGUGUGGGCGACAUUUCCACGUUCCUUCCGGUGCCCCCAGGCUUAAGCAUUUAAAUUUCCCCGCCCUGGGGGG